rnacentral:rRNA from 1 species
GUCUAUGACCAUACCACCCUGAACACACCUGAUCUCAUCUGAUGUUUGAAGCUAAGCUGAGUCAGGCCUGGUUAGUAAUUGGAUGGGAGACCCCUUGGAAAUACAGGGUGCCAAAGGCU